rnacentral:rRNA from 1 species
UACGUAGGGGGCAAGCGUUGUCCGGAAUCAUUGGGCGUAAAGAGCGUGUAGGCGGCCCGGUAAGUCCGCUGUGAAAGUCCAGGGCUCAACCCUGGGAUGCCGGUGGAUACUGUCGGGCUCGAGUCCGGAAGAGGAGUGUGGAAUUCCUGGUGUAGCGGUGAAAUGCGCAGAUAUCAGGAGGAACACCGGUGGCGAAGGCGGUUCUCUGGGCAUGUCCUGACGCUGAGGAGCGAAAGCGUGGGGAGCGAACAGG